AGAGAGAUUGCUAGAUCAUAAAAGGGUAUAUUCAGCUUUAUGAGAAAUUGCCAAGCUCUCUUACAAAGUGGUUGUACCAUUUUAUAUUCCCACUAGCAAU
rnacentral:pre_miRNA from 1 species